rnacentral:rRNA from 1 species
UACUCCUACGGGAGGCAGCAGUGAGGAAUUUUGGACAAUGGGCGCAAGCCUGAUCCAGCCAUGCCGCGUGCGGGAAGAAGGCCUUCGGGUUGUAAACCGCUUUUGUCAGGGAAGAAAAGCUCUGGGUUAAUACCCUGGGGUGCUGACGGUACCUGAAGAAUAAGCACCGGCUAACUACGUGCCAGCAGCCGCGGUAAUACUCCUA